rnacentral:rRNA from 1 species
CAGGUUUACCUGUGUGACUGCGUACCUUUUGUAUAAUGGGUCAGCGACUUAUAUUCUGUAGCAAGGUUAACCGAAUAGGGGAGCCGGAGGGAAACCGAGUCUUAAUUGGGCGUUAAGUUGCAGGGUAUAGACCCGAAACCCGGUGAUCUAGCCAUGGGCAGGUUGAAGGUUGGGUAACACUAACUGGAGGACCGAACCGACUAAUGUUGAAAAAUUAGCGGAUGACCUGUGGCUGGGGGUGAAAGGCCAAUCAAACCGGGAGAUAGCUGGUUCUCCCCGAAAGCUAUUUAGGUAGCGCCUCGUGAAUUCAUCUCCGGGGGUAGAGCACUGUUUCGGCUAGGGGGCCAUCCCGGCUUACCAACCCGAUGCAAACUGCGAAUACCGGAGAAUGUUAUCACGGGAGACACACGGCGGGUGCUAACGUCCGUCGUGAAGAGGGAAACAACCCAGACCGCCAGCUAAGGUCCCAAAGUCAUGGUUAAGUGGGAAACGAUGUGGGAAGGCCCAGACAGCCAGGAUGUUGGCUUAGAAGCAGCCAUCAUUUAAAGAAAGCGUAAUAGCUCACUGGUCGAGUCGGCCUGCGCGGAAGAUGUAACGGGGCUAAACCAUGCACCGAAGC